rnacentral:lncRNA from 1 species
UCUGCGACCUACACCACAGCUUACGACAACACCGGAUCUCUGACCCGCUGAGUGAGGCCAGGGAUUGAACUCGCAUCUUCAUGGAUACUAACUGACUUCAUUUCUACUGUGCCACAAUAGGAACUCCCCUUCUUUUUUCUUUUUUUCUUUUCGAUUUUAAAGUUUUAUUGUGAUAGAGUUGAUUUAUAAUGUUGUGAUAAUUUCUGCUGUACAACAAAAUGAUUCAGUUACACAUGUACAUACAUCCAUUCUUUUUUUUUUUUUACUGGGCGAACUCACAGCAUAUGGAAGUUCCCAGGCCAGGGGUGGAAUCGGAGCUGUAGCUGCUGGCCUACACCAGUCACAGCAACAUGGGAUCCCAGCUGCGUCUGUGACCUACCCCACAGCUCACGGCAGCGCCGGAUCCUUAACCCACAGAGCGGGGCCAGGGAUGGAAGCUGCAUCCUCAUGGAUGUUAGUCGGGUUCUUAACCCACUGAGCCACAGUGGGAACUCCUGAAGUCUCUUAAUUAAGGUUGAGAUGGUUAUGUGUCCUCAGACACGAAUGGGCCUGACGGACAGAUCCCUCGUCUGUCUCUUGACCUUCUAGGGGUGCUUCCUUCAUCUCCCCUUGCUCUUAGGAGACUUCGCCGCCCGGGGUGCAGGGCUGUGAUGGCUCUGCUGGGGUGGGUGGGUGCCCGAGGGAGGGCCUUGGGGAGGCAGGCCCGGCUGCGGUUCUCACCCCUGCCCCUCAGCCAGGCCAGCAGGAGGGGGUGUGCCACCCGUAGGUGCUAAGCCCGGUCCUUUACCCCCCUGUAGCCUGGGCCCAGCGUGGGGGCCCCGGGGGCAUCGCCACCCUGUCUCCUCACACCAUCUGUUGUCCGUUCUCUCCUAACUCGUUGCCACCAAAGGACUGACGGCCGCUCAGCCCCCGGGACGGCUGUGGGAGAGGAGGAGCCGAUGGGGACCGCCACCGCGCCCAGGGCAGGUGCCCAGCAGCUCGUGGUCAAAGCACUGUUGCUAUAAGCUAUUUCUGGGGGGCCUCUAGGGCCCCCUUGCCUCAGCACACCUCUGGGGACAGAUCACACUGUAUUUACUUGAGAGGGUUUGCCUCACUGACAAUAAACGGAGAC